GGGUUGUGAGGUUAAGCGACUAAGCGUACACGGUGGAUGCCCUGGCAGUCAGAGGCGAUGAAGGACGUGCUAAUCUGCGAUAAGCGUCGGUAAGGUGAUAUGAACCGUUAUAACCGGCGAUUUCCGAAUGGGGAAACCCAGUGUGAUUCRUCACACUAUCAUUACGUGAAUACAUAGCGUAAUGAAGCGAACCGGGGGAACUGAAACAUCUAAGUACCCCGAGGAAAAGAAAUCAACCGAGAUUCCCCCAGUAGCGGCGAGCGAACG
rnacentral:rRNA from 1 species